rnacentral:rRNA from 1 species
AACGAACGCUGGCGGCAGGCUUAACACAUGCAAGUCGAACGGUUGUAGCAAUACAGCAGUGGCAGACGGGUGAGUAACACGUGGGAACCUUCCUAGAGGUACGGAACAACGCAGGGAAACUUGCGCUAAUACCGUAUACGCUCGAGAGAGGAAAGAUUUAUCGCCUUUAGACGGGCCCGCGUCGGAUUAGCUAGUUGGUGAGGUAACGGCUCACCAAGGCGACGAUCCGUAGCUGAUCUGAGGGGAUGAUCAGCCACACUGGGACUGAGACACGGCCCAGACUCCUACGGGAGGCAGCAGUGGGGAAUCUUGGACAAUGGGCGCAAGCCUGAUCCAGCCAUGCCGCGUGAGUGAAGAAGGCCUUCGGGUUGUAAAGCUCUUUUGUCAGGGACGAUAAUGACGGUACCUGAAGAAUAAGCCCCGGCAAACUUCGUGCCAGCCGCCGCGGUAA